rnacentral:rRNA from 1 species
GUCUAUGGCCAUGCCACCCUGAACAAGCCCGAUCCCAUCUGAUCUCGGAAGCAGGGUUGGGCCUGGUUAGUACUUGGAUGGGAGACCACCUAGGAAGACCAGGUGCUGUAGGCA